UUUGACGGAGGGGCCUGGGGUGGGGGCGCUGAGUCCUCCUAGAGAGCCACCCCCUAGAGCUCCCAUACAGAAUUUUUUGACCUGGUUUAUGGACUCAAGUCCAACUAAUUCGAGAAUGAGGAGGGAGUGCCCUUGGGGAUUCCUGCCCGGAUGGAGGGCUCCGAGUAAAGGGUCCUGCUUUACUCCUGCAGAGGGGGCGCAGCCUGGGCCCCCACUCAGGGCCUGUGGACACCAAGGCAGGCGGGAGAAGGCUCCCCAGGCCUCAGCGUUUGCAUCUUGCUGACACAACAGGCCACUUUCUGGCCUCUCAGCUCUGUGUCUAGGAAUUUAGUAGCCUCCCGAUCGGGCCAACUGAGGGGUUUUUCCCAAAUAACACGCUGGAAGUAAAGUUUCACCACUCCUGAGGCCUGUAGACGGGUAAAGGGGGGCUCCCCGCGGGGGAACAGGCCUGCCAUACAUCCUCCCCUCCAGCCUGCGGUGCUGGACUUCAGGUGGUUGAUCAGAAGCCUGUUGAGAGGGUUGGGUGCUUCAGAGGCCCCCGGAGCAUGGGGCUCAUUCCCAGGUGGGUAAACGCAACACUUUGCGGAAGUCACAUGUUUAAUGUCUUUCUUCCCUACUAGAUGGUGAAGGCAGAGCUGUGCCUGCAGGUGACUGCAGAUGUUCAGUGAAUCACACGUCUUAGCCACAUGAAGGAUCAGCUACAGCUCUGAGCCGAGGAGUGCACAGGAAGCUGCCUGCCCUGAGGGGCCCAAGUGCCCUGCGGCUCAGGUCGCCCUCCACAGACCAGAAAGCCUCAGCAAACCUGCAGAGAUCAGCGUGGUCUUCUGAAGACAUCCAUGGAGUCGAAGGCCCUCCUGCGAGGCCAGGAGGGUGAUGAUUAUGGUGAAGAGAGAGGCCUCAAACUAUUUUGCACACAUCUUGCUUACUUUUGCAAAGUGAAUAGCUGGCAAAAGAAACUAAAAUCCUCAUGGGAACACCAGCGCACCCUGUGUCAACUUGUUGAACAUUCCCCGAGCACCUGCACGCUGUGUCACAGGCACAGCAGAACGUGCUGAUGACACAGAAGUGGACGAGGCAGAAGGCGCCUUCCCCUGGAACCCUGGUCACGUCCAAACCCGGCCACACAGCAGGCUGAGUGCCCAAAGAGGGUCCUGGGAAGAUUUCCCAGUCGUGCUUCCCAAGAAUGAGGAGUGAGAAUUAACUGAGCCCAGUGCUUAGCGUGGAAUCAGCAUCGUGUCUAGUAGGAACUCGGUGAGUGUUUAGUAAAUGAACCAGUGAGCCAGGUCAGAAAGGCUCGAGGUGCGGUUUUCUUAAGUCUUUACAUGAAUAACAGUCUCUGAGAAGUGGCUCAGAUGACUUCAGCCACGAGGACAUGACGCUGAGUAAUAAUAGUAACCCAGGUGACAUUUAUAAAGCACUCGCCUGCCGGGCAGUUUACCAAAUGCUUUAUGAGGCUGCAUCUCAUUCAGUUCUCUGAACUGCUGAGGGAGGUGCUCCUGUUAUCCCCAUCUUACAGAGGAAAAUGAGGUGGGUCGCUCGCCCAAGCCAAGGCAGCUGUGCCUUGAAGCAGGUGACACCAAGCUUCAGGGCCCCUCACUUGCACCGCAGUUUCAGGGCCCUGGGAGGGGUCCUGGCAGUUUAGUUACAGGACCACGUGUUUCAGUAAAAUUCUCAAGAGCAAGGUUUUUAUUCUUUUCCUUAGGGAGAACCCCCAAAAUUACAGAACCUUGAGGCCCAACAAAUCUUAGAUCCGCUGUUGUGCCCAAGGUCACUCAGCUAGUGACUGACCCGGUCUGUGAUCUUCCCCAGCCCCGAGUUCUUCCGUCUCUGAGCUAUGAUCCUCGGCUGGAAGCUGGAAGCAUUUCCAGCCCUGCUUCUCCACGGGGCUGUGAGCAAAGACUCAAAAGCACUUUCCUUCUUGAUGUCCUGUUGUGUUGUCUUUGCAUUGUUAACCUGUAUGUGACAUGUAACACAUAGAGCACACAUUUUUAAGACUAUUUGAAUAAUAUGGGAAAUGCUCUCCUUAUGUUUAGUGAACAAAAAAGGAGAUAAGGAGAGUGUGUGUGUCACUAAACACUCAGUAAGCGUUAGAAAAAGCAAACGGAGAGGUUAGAAAGAAAUCAACAUUUUAACUAUGGUUAUUCUUUAAGUGGUGGAAUCACAAUUUUAUUUUCAUUUUACUUUUCUGUAUGUUUCAAGUUCUGAACAGACCUUUUUCUCAAUUUUUAAAAAUAAUACGUACUUAGGUUAAAAAUUAAUGCUAAAAGGCUUAAUAAAAUAAAAAGCACCCCAUCCUUGCUGUAGGUAGAGGAAAAAAAGCUAAAACUAGUCCCAGCACACAUCGUUAUUAAAGCUUCUGGAAUUAGAAGAGUAGAGAUGGAGAAAGUUUCAUAAAUUUUAUUAAAUGGGCCUUUAAAGUAGCUUGACUUCUAAAAUUUAAACAUGACUUAGUUAAUAAUCAGUAAUAACCAUUCCGCAAUAUCAGAAAGGAGUAAGAACAAGAGAAAGUACUUUAAAAAUCUCUGAGACGCGGGGAGUCGGGGAGCCUGGAACCCCGUCUGCAGGAAGGAAGUGCUCUUUCUGCUCUCUGAGCAGAGAAGCAGCAGAUUGGUGGAAUUCAAGCAAUUCUUCCAUUGGAUCCCCUUGUUUUUCCCAAAGUUGUAGGUUGAACCCCUAUCUAGGAAGCUGGCGAAAACCAUAGAAGCUUAGACUCUCGAGAUGGUGGAGAGCGUGUGACCACCUGACAGCGAGCACACAGAAGGCCAGCAACAGGGUGCGGCCGACCAGACACCAAGUGCUGGUCCUCAGCGGAGCCGGGCUGGGGGCCGGGGCUCUGACCUGCAUGAAGAGCUCUGCUCUUGCACAGUUUGAGGAGAUCUGGGACUGCCUAGUGAGCCCCUCCCUGUCCCACAGGGUAAGCACAGGGCAGUCCCACUGUCAGAGUUGCCAGGUCAAACCGGGGAGGACCCCUACACCUGCUCCCAAAUCUGGGCAGAGCAUGAGGAAGGACAGUGAGCCCCGCUCGCCUACCCCCAGGCUCCUCCCCCGACCUGGACAGUGCCCCUUGGUGAAGGCGCUGUCUCAGAGCCGCGUGUCACUGCUUGGGGGAGACGGGUGAGGCCCAGCAGCAAAGGUCCAGCCACAGCCAUGCUGUCUGCUCUAGAGGGACUGCCGUGCGUGGAAAUAAAACAAGGGGAACCAUGUGCAUUGGCAACGACACAAGUCAGUCACAGUGACCUGGGUCUUUGGUCAUCCCAGUCUCACAGUGUACCCGUAGGUCUUGCUGUCAUUUCUAUUACAUAAAUUGACUGCCCAACGUCACAUUUCCAGGAAAAUUUGGAACUAGGAUUAGAAUCCAAUGACUCUAGAAUCCAAGCUCCAGCCAACCUUCUCAAACAGAAGUCUGUCCAGGAAAAGACAACCAGGGUUGGGAAAAGACUCAAAAUUACGACGUGAGAGAAACAACGGAAGGGACUCUGACUCUCCUGACAGAGGAAAGUCUUGGGGUAAAAUGUGUUCCUCAGAGUUGAGAAUGACAAACAGACUUGAAACAACAGUAAUGAGUUAAAUAAAAUAAAAGAUAAAGUGUGCUGAGAAGUACAGAUUAAAAAAUCAGAAGUGGGAGGGGAUGGGGCCAGCCUGGUGGUGUAGCAGUUGGGUUCACACGCUCUGCUUCGGCGGCCCAGGGUUCACCAGUUUGGAUCCCGGGUGAGGACUUACGCAGCUUGUCAAGCCACACUGUGGCAGGCGUCCCACAUGUUAAAUGGAGGAUGAUGGGCGUGGAUGUUAGCUCAGGGCGAAUCUUCCUCAAAAAAUAAUUAAUAAUAAUUAAAAAUAAAAGUGGGAGGGGACAAUGAGAAAUGGAAGGAAUUGAUAGUUUUCCGAUAUUUGCACAACUUCUCAAUGGGACACUUGUUCCGUGAAACUCCAUGGGGCAGAACAAGGACAGAUGCUCCUGGAAGGCAGACACAGGCCCAGGGUAAGAACUUCCUUAAGCUCUGAGCUGCCUGCAGGUGGGGUGGCAUCUCACGGUGAUGCUCAUGAGGCCACUCGAUGGGGAGACGUCUGUGACAGGCGCGCGCACGAGCCGGCCGGCAGGUGAAUUCGCCAGUGCUGACAGUGAGUUUUCUACAGCUGGUCUGUGACAUUCACCAGUCACCCAGUCUCUGAGCUUCGGUUUUCUCAUCAGUAAAAUAGAAAUAUGAGCCUUAACUGAGGCGGAUGACACAUGUGGGCCCUUGAUUCUUGCCGGCAGGAUGGAGACAGCCUAGAGGGGUGUGGGGUUUCCUGUUUUCUUGUCAGUCAUCUCAUAAAGUGAUAGAAUGUAGAAUGGAAAAAGUAUUAAAAACUCUGUAGUCUUUUUCAAUACUUUAUGUGACCACACCUUCUCUGCUCUCAUAACUUAAAAAAAAAACUAAGAAAUACUUUCAUAACCUAAAGAAUUUUGUGUGUACAUUAAACAUUACCCCAAAAAUCUAAAUGCUGAUUAAUGAGACACAGCUGUCAUGUUCUCACAAAUAACUGAACGAGUAGCCAGUUUAUCCUCGUGACAAAAUUAUUUCUUUCCCGGGCAUUUCAGUUGAAACAAUAAAAAUUGUGCCAACAAUGCUGUUGGUUUUUAGCUAAUAAUAGAAUCAUUUUGUUAUGUUAAUGAAAUAGAUCUUCUACAAUUUUAUUUAUUAAAAUUCUACAGUUAUCACUGUAGUAAAAUGUGAAUGCAGCCAAUGAACGCAGAUUCACUGACCCUGACAAGCAGAGAAAUUCGAGUGAAAGAAUGCUUUUGAGUGGGCGCAGCUGCUGGUAACGCUAUCGAUUUAGAAUAGAGGCCGAGAUGUAAAUUCCACGUCUCAGAAAAGAGAAAGGAAAUACAAUGUCUAGCUGGAAAAUUUUAAGGAGCACUAUAAAUGGAAAGUAUAAUAAAAAUAAACACAAGCAUAAAACAACCAAGUAAAUAAAACAAGUACCAACAAGUUGGUGACAACAGAUAUGAGGAGAAUAUAGUCUUUGAAAAGAGGUUGAUUCUCAGCUGGGAUUUCACCUUGCAGAGGUCAAGGUCGUGGCCUCUGGGGCUGGGCUGCCUGGGUUUGGAGCUCCCGGCUCGGCCUUGUCUCUGUGGCCUGGAGAGCCAGGCUUCUCUCCCUGUGCUCAGUUUCCUCGUCUGUAAAACGGGCGCCUGUAGCCUCUGCCUCCCGGCUCGUGCGAGGAGUGGCAGGUGACGACGCUGGCAGAAUCCCGAGGUGGUGCCGCGUGACCGACGACUACGAACCAGAGGGGAAGCGGCCCUUGCUCUCUGUUGGGUUAAACUGUGCUGUGAGGUUGUGAAAAUUAAAACUGUAUCCUGGCAUCAGACGGGCGCUGGAUCCCUACAACAGACGUAAACGUUUAGAAACGAACCCCCGUUGAAAAGCAUUUACUGUAUGACAAAGGUAGAAAUGCAAACAAGUGAGGGGAGAAACUGUUCCGAAAAUGGUGCUGAGAUGGCUGGUGUUUUGGAAGCACUAUGUUAAGUUGGCUUUUUCUUCCUAACCUCACGACAUACAGCAAAAUAAAUUCCAGGUGGGCUAAGGAGUUUGACGAAUGAAAUCAUAAAAGAACUAAACGCAAACAGGUGACUUUUUCUCUAAUUUGGGGGCAGGAGAAAGGCUCUCUGGGCGUGACCCUAACAGUGGGAAUCACUGGGGAGAGGCUUAUGUGAAGAAACUGAGAACCGGCAGGACGGGACGGAAUAACAGACAGCGGGGCGUCCACAAGUGCGACGCACCCGUGUUGACCGCGGGAGGCGCAGAGAUAAGCCUGUGGUAUUUCAAUUAUUAUAUCUUCAAUUUAAUUGCAUUAUGAAACCUUAUUAGUAUAUCAAACCCUUGAAUUCACUAAUAUCGGUGCAAAGAAGAAGCUCAAGUUGGUAUAUAUAUGUUUUAAAAGGACGUCAAUUUGAACAAAAAUAUCAGAUGAAUGAUAAUACAGUUGGUACUCAGAUUUGAUAAAAAUAUAUAAUGCAAAUGUUAUGUGAGCGAAUGAUGCUUGGAGAUGCAAACUGUGGAUGAGAAGAUGUUUUAAUUAGGCUAAUUCUUUAAAAAUUAGUUUAUAAUUAGAAUUUUAUAUAAUCCAAUCAAAACAAGUUUUUUGGGGGAAAGUCUUUCAGAAGUUCAUCUGAAAGAACACAGAAGAACCAACUCAUAUCUGAUAAGAUAUUAACAUCCAAAUAUAUAAGGAAAUCCUACAACUCAAUAGCAAAAAACCCCACAAAUAGUCCAACUGAAAAUGGGUAAAGGACUUGAAGAAACAUUUCUCCCUCUUAGUCACUAUGCGGUUGAUUCCAGCUGAAUUUGAGAGCUUUAUACACACAUACACAUGCGUGUCCUGACAUUUGCUCACAUACCAUAUGUCUAAGUAUUUGAAAGUUACGCAUCAAGCUAUCAGCUAUUGAAUGACCUGCAUUCUAACCUCUUACCUAGACAAACAGCCCUUGGCGAUGACCGGACGGCAGGUGAGAAUUUAGAGUUCUCGCCGCCUUGGGGUUCCGCCCUGGACCCUGGUCACACGGGAGGAGCAACCUUGGACGUGACCCUGCCUCCACCCCUUCUGUCCCCCUCCAGCCUCAGUCCCACACCCAGGACACGUGUGUAGACGCCUCCGCUCCCUCCAGGCCCUGCUCCCUGCCCUCACACCCUUGGACACGCUGGGCUAGGUGCACACCCCUCAUGUGGAAGACCCAGUGGACUAUCUGGGGAGGGGUCCACACAGACUCCGAGGGGGCAGCAAGGUCGGGACCCUCUGAAGCACGGGGCCCAGGGCAGGGACCUCUUGUCUGACACGUUACAUAACUUAAAAACAAAAAAGAGCGAUUUGAGUAUAAAAUAAAAAUUGCAAUGAGU